GUCUCUGUGGCGCAAUCGGUCAGCGCGGUCGGCUGUUAACCGAAAGGUUGGUGGUUCGAGCCCACCCAGGGACG
rnacentral:tRNA from 1 species